rnacentral:rRNA from 1 species
GAUGAACGCUGACAGAAUGCUUAACACAUGCAAGUCCACUUGAACUUCGGUUUGGGUGGCGGACGGGUGAGUAACGCGUAAAGAACUUGCCUCACAGAUAGGGACAACAUUUGGAAACGAAUGCUAAUACCUGAUAUUAUGAUUAUAUGGCAUCGUAUAAUUAUGAAAGCUAUAUGCGCUGUGAGAGAGCUUUGCGUCCCAUUAGCUAGUUGGAGAGGUAACGGCUCACCAAGGCGAUGAUGGGUAGCCGGCCUGAGAGGGUGAUCGGCCACAAGGGGACUGAGACACGGCCCUUACUCCUACGGGAGGCAGCAGUGGGGAAUAUUGGACAAUGGACCAAGAGUCUGAUCCAGCAAUUCUGUGUGCACGAUGAAGUUUUUCGGAAUGUAAAGUGCUUUCAGUUGGGAAGAAAAAAAUGACGGUACCAACAGAAGAAGUGACGGCUAAAUACGUG